rnacentral:lncRNA from 1 species
CAACACACAAAAUGUCAAAGUACAACAGUGGACAGUCUGAGAGUAAACAUUACAGCCGCAGAAUCUUGACCAGAGGAAAACAAGUUGUCCCAGAAGACUGAGAGCUCUCCUAAAAUGAUGCCUACAGCUAAAGGCAUGUCCCGAAUGAUACCCACUCACGUUCUGAGAGUGGGUCAAACUGUCCGCCUGGACUCGGCGCAUGAGACAGUCAACCAACAUCCCAGUGUCACGGAGCCCGGCAGUAACAAUGGUGACUCUGAUCUUGAUAUUUCAAUGGAUAAUCUCAACCAGCUCAUCCUGGAACUGGAUCCAACAUUUAAACCCAUUGAUGUCAACAGGAGUCCCUUGUGCAUCAGGCCUCCAACAGUUACAGACACCACCAGUCACACAUGACCACAGACUACAGUGUUUUUCUGAGGGCAUAAACUCACUCUGUGCCCAUCAACACAGUGACGCAGACAGAUCCUCAAG